rnacentral:tRNA from 1 species
UGCGGAUUGGUGUAAUAGUUAACAUAAUUGGCUCAUGUCCAAUUGUUUGAGGUGCAAGUCCUUAGUCCGCAA